rnacentral:tRNA from 1 species
GGUCUUAAGUUAAUAAAACUAUUAGCCUUCAAAGCUGAAAAUGAAAUUUCUAUUUUAGGCCUUA